rnacentral:rRNA from 1 species
UACGUAGGGGGGCGAGCGUUGUCCGGAUUUAUUGGGCGUAAAGAGCUCGUAGGCGGUUCGGUAAGUCAGAUGUAAAAACUCCAGGCUCAACUUGGAGAGGCCAUCUGAUACUGCCGUGACUAGAGUCCGGUAGAGGAGCACGGAAUUCCUGGUGUAGCGGUGAAAUGCGCAGAUAUCAGGAGGAACACCAGCGGCGAAGGCGGUGCUCUGGGCCGGAACUGACGCUGAGGAGCGAAAGCGUGGGGAGCGAACAGG